rnacentral:rRNA from 1 species
GCAAAGCUGAAACUUAAAGGAAUUGACGGAAGGGCACCACCAGGAGUGGAGCCUGCGGCUUAAUUUGACUCAACACGGGAAAACUUACCUGGCCCGGACACUGGAAGGAUUGACAGAUUAAGAGCUCUUUCUUGAUUCAGUGGGUGGUGGUGCAUGGCCGUUCUUAGUUGGUGGAGCGAUUUGUCUGGUUAAUUCCGAUAACGAACGAGACUCUAGCCUACUAAAUAGGGGACCGAUCAAUUGUUGUCGGUCCGUCUUCUUAGAGGGACAAGCGGCUUUUAGCCGCACGAGACAGAGCAAUAACAGGUCUGUGAUGCCCUUAGAUGUCCGGGGCCGCACGCGCGCUACACUGAAGGAAGCAGCGUGCUCAUCGCUGUCCGGCAGGACUGCGUAACCCCUAUAACCUCCUUCGUGAUAGGGAUAGGGGCUUGUAAUUGUUCCCCUUGAACGAGGAAUUCCCAGUAAGCGCGAGUCAUAAGCUCGUGUUGAUUACGUCCCUGCCCUUUGUACACACCGCCCGUCGCUACUACCGAUUGAAUGAUUUAGUGAGGUCUUCGGACUGGCGCUCGGAGCGACCUUCGGGUUGCGCCGGCGUGCCGGAAAGAUGACCAAACUUGAUCAUUUA